AAAUCAACAAAGCCCUAAAUGUCUUAAUUGGAGUUGAGGUUUUCAAAGGCGGGGAGAAUGGAUAGUCCUAAGCUGCAUGAAAAAUUCCUACCAACUUUGGGAGUCCAGGCCUCAAUCUUGGGCCAAGAUCCACACAAUUCCUAAUAAGGCCUGAAAUCCAAGCUACCAAAUUCAGGGUUAAGAGAUCUAACCCCUCACAGAGACCUCAAUAGUACCAUUUAGGCAGGUGGAGGUGGAGGUGGCAGCAGCGAUGGUUAUG